AACGCACAUUGCGCCCCUUGGUAUUCCGGGGGGCAUGCCUGUUCGAGCGUCAUUAUAACCCCUCAAGCUCAGCUUGGUGUUGGGGCCUGCCUCUGGGCAGCCCUUAAAAUCAGUGGCGGUGCCAUCUGGCUCUAAGCGUAGUAACUUCUCUCGCUAUAGGGUCCCGGUGGAUGCUGGCCAACAACCCCAAUUUUUCUAUGGUUGACCUCGGAUCAGGUAGGGAUACCCGCUGAACUUAA
rnacentral:misc_RNA from 1 species